rfam:Camelus ferus unplaced genomic scaffold scaffold1842, whole genome shotgun sequence.
GGGGGUAUAGCUCAGUGGUAGGACACAUGCUUAGCAUGCAUGAGGUCCUGGGUUCAAUCCCCAGUACCUCCA